AUUGCCCCAGUAACGGCGAGUGAAGCGGCAACAGCUCAAAUUUGAAAUCUGGCCCCCGGCCCGAGUUGUAAUUUGCAGAGGAUGCUUCUGGCGCGGCGCCUUCCGAGUCCCCUGGAACGGGGCGCCGGAGAGGGUGAGAGCCCCGUACGGUCGGACGCCAAGCCAGUGUGAAGCUCCCUCGACGAGUCGAGCAGUUUGGGAAUGCUGCUCAAAAUGGGAGGUAAAUUUCUUCUAAAGCUAAAUACCGGCUGGAGACCGAUAGCGCACAAGUAGAGUGAUCGAAAGAUGAAAAGCACUUUGAAAAGAGGGUUAAACAGCACGUGAAAUUGUUGAAAGGGAAGCGCCCGUGGCCAGACUCGCGCCGCGCGGAUCAUCCGGCGUUCUCGCCGGUGCACUCCGCGCGGCUGCGGGCCAGCAUCGGUUCCCUCGGGGGGACAAGAGCCCCGGGAACGUAGCUCCCCCGGGAGCGUUAUAGCCCGGGGCAGGAUACCCCCGCCGGGACCGAGGUUCGCGCUCCGCAAGGAUGCUGGCGUAAUGGCCACCGGCGACCCGUCUUGAAACACGGACCAAGGAGUCAAGGUUUUGCGCGAGUGUCUGGGUGUCAAACCCGCACGCGUAAUGAAAGUGAACGCUGGUGAGAGCUUCGGCGCAUCAUCGACCGAUCCUGAUGUCCUCGGAUGGAUUUGAGUAGGAGCGCAGUGCCUUGGACCCGAAAGAUGGUGAACUAUGCUUGGAUAGGGUGAAGCCAGAGGAAACUCUGGUGGAGGCUCGCAGCGGUUCUGACGUGCAAAUCGAUCGUCAAAUCUGAGCAUGGGGCGAAAGACUAAUCGAACCAUCUAGUAGCU
rnacentral:rRNA from 1 species